rnacentral:rRNA from 1 species
UACGAAGGGGGCUAGCGUUGCUCGGAAUUACUGGGCGUAAAGCGCACGUAGGCGGUCUUUUAAGUCGGGGGUGAAAUCCUGGAGCUCAACUCCAGAACUGCCUUCGAUACUGGAAGACUUGAGUCCGGGAGAGGUGAGUGGAACUCCGAGUGUAGAGGUGAAAUUCGUAGAUAUUCGGAAGAACACCAGUGGCGAAGGCGACUCACUGGCCCGAUACUGACGCUGAGGCGCGAAAGCGUGGGGAGCAAACAGG